AAUGAACGUUGGCGGCGUGGAUUAGGCAUGCAAGUCGAGCGCGAACCCGCAAGGGGGAAAGCGGCGAAAGGGAGAGUAACGCGUGGUUAUCUACCCCUAGACUCGGGAUAGCUGUGGGAAACUACAGGUAAUACCGAAUAAUAUCUCCGGAUCAAAGGUGUGAUUCCGUCUAGGGAUGAGACCGCGUCCUAUUAGCUAGUUGGUAGGGUAAUGGCCUACCAAGGCAAUGAUGGGUACUGGGUGUGAGAGCACGACCCAGCUCACUGGGACUGAGAUACUGCCCAGACACCUACGGGUGGCUGCAGUCGAGAAUCUUCGGCAAUGGGCGCAAGCCUGACCGAGCGACGCCGCGUGCGGGAUUAAGGCCUUCGGGUUGUAAACCGCUGUCAGAGGGGAUGAAAUGCGGUGGGGGUACUCCCCCAUGCUUGACAUAUCCUCAGAGGAAGUACGGGCUAAGUUCGUGCCAGCCGCCGCAGUAAUAC
rnacentral:rRNA from 1 species